UGGGUCAAAGGCCCCUCAAAUAACUCUAUAUUAUAAGCCUGUCAGCUAGAUUAUCCUUGGCUCCUACGUUUUAAAGAAUGGGGGACUGUCCAAAUAAUCAACUGUCUCUACAAACUGAUUAUGAUUCUGAAGCUGUUUUGUGCUUGUUAUACUUUCAAGUAAUAUUUAGUCUUUCCCAGAUUUCUGAUGGGAUUAAAGACUAAUUUUAGUCUCAUAAUCAAACUCAAGUUAUUUAACAUUGAGAUAGGAAGUUUAUAGAAUGGAUGACAUGAUUUUCAGAUGACAUUACAGCUAAAUUCUAAACAUAAUCCAAGGAUAGAAUCAUAAUUCUUUCAGUUAGGAAAUACGGUAGAAUACUUUGUCUAAUUGACAAAUUGGUAGACUAAAUGUCCUUUGUUCCUGGUACUAUAUAAUUUACUUAGUUUUUACAGUUUUGUUCAAUUUAUAUCUGGGAGAAGAGGUUUUUGUUGUUGUUGUUUUUACUUUUUAUUGGACAGAAAAGGUGAAGUAUAGGAGGAGGUGCUGAUACUAAAGUCUGGUUCUUUAAUUGGUUCUUGAUUUGGUCAAUAAAGGUGGGAGCCAAUUGCUGGGCGAAGGUAGAGGUAGGACUUCUGGGUCCCAGGGAAACAGAAGGGGCUUUUCAACCAGGCCUUGGAAGAAGCAUGAAGCAACCAUAUAAGACCUUGGGGAAGCUAGAACUGGUGGCCUCCGCCACUGGCGGAUAGCCAAAGAGGUCGACAAAGACUGGCUGAUAUAGGCUAGCAGCUAAGAUUAGAACAAGAGAUUCUGCACCCAGCAAUUGUGCUAUCUGGCAAGUUCUAAAAUAAUAAAGCUGCCUGAGUGUUUUUCAUUCCUCAGAGCAAAGGUGGGUAAAGAUAGAAGUUGGGUCGGUGAUGCCAACUUGAUGAGGCUAGCCAGGAGGAACAAAAGAGGACCGGGAGGGACCUGGGUGCAGGCAGCAGCUCUAGGGUCGAGGCAGCUGGCAGCCUGGCGAAGGAAGCUGGGAGGAACAAACCGUAACAGAUGGCAAAGUGGAACUUAGCAGGGUUGGUGGCAUGCCCAGCACGUUAGUCAGGAUGGAGCAGAGUUGGAACCCACUCUACACUGCCUCCAGAGCCUCUCGGCGCCCCAGAGUCCCUCCUCAAAGGCUGACUGUCCUGAAUCUGCAUAGACUCCCCACAGUGCUGGUUCCAUGCCUGGCAGCUCCAUCAGAGAAGGUAUGCUCAUCUGACACAAAUUCACCCAGACCUGCGUUGGGCAUGCUGAUAAAUAGAGGGGCUCUUUUUACAUAGCCCGAGCAUGUUUACACCAGACAGCUACAGGAAUGAAGUUAUAUGUGUGAGCAUCCUUGGGAGCUUGGAGGAGCCUGCCACGUGGUCAUGGAGGGUGGGGGCAGGAUCGUAGAAUGCUGUCACAAGAUUGCAUGUGCGAAAGGGCAUUGCACACAGCUACGGGCCAUGGGUGGCAGCCACAAGCAUGCUAAUUCAGGCAUCUCAUUCAGAAGGAAGCAAAUGGUUCUCUGAGGCUCUGAUGCCGGGGGUGUGUGAGAGGUGAGGGGAGAGGAACAAAAUCAGGACGGACAUAGAACAUCCUCUCUCAAGGAUGCGCUGGUAUUACAAUGCCUGGGGUCUAUGUAUCGCGCUGACUCUGACCUCUCUGGAUUAUGUAUCAAUUCUUAUUUCUCAGUUGGGAAAGUACAGAUCACUUUUCCUUAUGCAGUAGACCACAGCUGCAGAGGCAACGGCUCUCAAACAUGACUGCUGCAGCAACAACCACUUGGGUGGCAUCAGAGCCUCAGCUCUGGAGAGUUUACCCACCUCUACCCUGGCAGUGGAUCGCCUCAACCACUUAGAGCAAAGAGGACUCCACAGUUAAGAAGUAUGGGGGGGGGGGGGAUUCACAUUGUGUAGGAAUACAUCGAACUUCUGUGGUAAGCAAAAAAAAAAAAAAAAUGUAUCUUUAAUUUGGCUGAAAUCAUCAUUUCUCAAACAUUUUGAUCACAGUAAUUAGUAAUUAGUCACUAAAUACCUGCCAGCCUGAAGAGAGGGCUGAAUGUUGAACCGAGCUGGAUUACACGAUCCCAGCCUUUUUCAGCCCUAAAACCCGCUGCCUUGUGAACAAAGACUACGUCAUGUAGCUGGGACUAAUAAUAAAGUAUAACGGGGGUGGGGCGAUACAGAUGUGCUGACAUUCAUCCUAACAAGACGAUGGGCCAGUGCCAGGCACAAGAGGGGACGAGCAGGUGGCAGUGGUCAAGGGUCAGCCGGGAAGCACAGCGGUGGCCAUAGUCGGGAGAGAAGCGACAUAGGAUGCGGGAAAAUAAAACAUAUGAGGCGACAGACAACACCAGGAAGCCUCGGUCAGGUAUAAAGCAUGUGGCAGGCGGCAAAGCCUGAGACUGUCACAGACAUUUCUGGGUACCAAGAAAGGCUCAGGUGGGGCCACAGGAAGAGCCUUCAUUCAUGGUGAGGGGCCCGUUUCCUCAGGGCCACAGGAGCCAUGAGAAGGGACCUUGGGGGAGUGGACUAUGCAAAAGUCGGGAGGAUCCAUCACGGAAGCUGGCAGACAGUAGCCAUGCACUUCAAACUGUUGUUCAGCCACAAAGAAGACUGAAACCCUUAGCAUUUACACGGGCGGGCCUAGGGGUGAACAAUGACGUCAGGUGAACUGUGGAAACAUGAAAGACACAAGCCUCACAGUCUCUCCCAUGUGUGGAAGUUCAAACCCGAAUACAGACUAGUAAUUCUUAGUGAUUCCUCCAGGGCUGGAAAGUUGGGUAAGGAUGAUAAAAGGACCCCCGAUACCUCACAGAAUCCCAAUAGUGUAUACAGUCUGUGUAUGCUAAUCAAAAAUAAAAGUAAUAUUUUCAAAAAGCAUAGCGUGGCCUCAGGAACCAGCGAAGAGGAAAUCCAGACAGCCUGGCGCGGUGCAAAAGGCAGAGGGAAUGUAAUUCACCCACAUAGUGUGACCGGCUACAGGUUUCAGUGUGCCGUCUGCCUUCCCUUCUUCUCACACUCCCGUCGGGGGCUGUGCCCUUUCCUAUCCCACCGCCCAGUGUCCUUUUGCCUCUACUUUCCCUCAAGUUAUGAACCAGUUUCAAUCCUUCAUGGCCGAACUUCCCUGAUGACAUUGGCUGUCCUGUUUACCGCUUCCGGACAGACAGACAGACAGACAGACAGACCACAUCAUAUGCAUCAUGUCCCAAGCAAUUCCGUAUACCUUCCCUCCAAUCCAGCAGCUCCCAGUCUGUUCUCACAAGUGUUGUGACCAGGCUUAAGUCCACCAGACCUAAAGCCACAGCGACCUUCCAUGUUCAGAAAGCAGGUCUUACUCCGGCCCCUGCAAGGGUCUUAUACCUGGGCCACGCGGCUCUCACUCCCUGGAUGGGUGAAUCCUCGAGAACUCACCCCAAAUCUUCCCAUGUGAAUAUGGAAGAGACCAGGGACCAGUCAGAAGCAUCAGAGAGAGAACUUCGACUCCCUCUCACAGUGCUUGAUGAAGCCUUAGUCUCCAGAAGGGGCUGUGUCAGCCGGGGCUGACAUCCAAGGUGACAGGCAGACACACUUUACCACAGAAUGCAAAUUUAGCAUUAUCAGACAAAUCACUCUCACACAGACCUGUAUUGUCCCCAGUGAGAGAACUUGGUCACAGGGGUUUACAGAGUCACUUCAGUAAGUAACACAUGGCUUGUGCUACCCAGGCCGACUUUAAUUGUUCAAGGACACCAUGGUUCAGUGUUUAAAGUCUCACUGGUUCACAGAAGGCCAGGAAACAGAACAAGAUCACGUGUGCACCAAUGAACCAAAUGUUCAUAAUCAGAACACCAUUAACUCCAUAUUUUUCCGCAAAGCAACAACCCAAAGUUUCAUGGGACCCAGGAGAGCACUGUUUCCAUAGGCAGAUGAACCUGGGUCACAUGCUAUGAACAUUAAUGUCCCUGCAGUCAAGAGAGACGGAGAACCCUGGGAACCAGGGACGCCCAUCACAAAGCUGUGGGACUAAGUCACUCUCCUGUUUGCGAGACAGGGUUUCUCCGUGGAGCCUCGGCUGUCCUGGAACUCACGCUCUAGAGUUCAUCAGGCUGGCCUCCGACUCUCAGGGAUCCGCUUGUCUCUGCCUCCCGAGUCUGUCUGGUGCUGCGGAGGUCAGGAAGUCAGGAAAGGGCAGUAGGGUCCCCUGGAACUGGAAUUAUGGAUCGCUGGCCAACAUGAAUGCUGGGAUCUGUAAGAGAAGCCAGCGCUUUUGACCACUGAGCCAUGUUUCCAGCCCCCAUCAAAGGCACAGUCUGAUAGGUAAUUGGUGUUUCUUGACUUUCAUUGCAGUAUAGAAAAUAAAAGUAUAACGCAGCCUGUAGCCCCUAGCUGGUUGAAAGAUGGAGGCAAAAGGUCACUUGAGCUCAUGAGUUAGAGAGCAUGCUAGACAGCAAAAGAACCAAACAAAAUAGAACAGAGCACGGCCCCAAAGGCCUCUUCGAGUCGAAGGACUCCUGGCUGUUGCCUUCAUUAUCUCAGUAGUUUUAUUUUGAUAUGGAUGGAGUCUCUAGGCUGAAAGAAGUAACUAGACAUCCCAUUUAUUAAGUAGCUAGGGCCAAACAGAAAGUGUUGGUGAGCUUGGGUGUGGCUCCAUGGGGGAGAGCUCCUGCCGACUGCUUAUGUAGGCCUGUAGCGAUGGUCGCACUUGGAAGAGCUACUUGGGUCCUUAUAACUUACUUACCAUUUUGAAAGGCGAUACACCUGAGUUGAAAGAAAACUGUCCCAUUCUUAAGAAGCCUCCCAAAUUCUCUGAUGUGAAUUCUCAAAACUUCCUUUAGAGACAAAGAUACUGAGGCUCGGAGGUUAGUGAAUGCCCGAGGCUUUGGCUGGUAAGAGGCUCUGCCUUGUAUCUAUUGGAGCUCUCUCUGCUCUUUAGAACUUCUUGUAUAUAAAUAUAAACUCUUUGAAGGCAAAAGGCCAGGCCUUGGUCGUGUCAGAGAAUCCUGUCACACCAUGCGGAGUCACACAUUAAACAGCCUGUGCAAAGGUGCCCUGUUGUUAUAGCAUCUUGGCCACUGGCACUCACAGCGCAGGCAUGUGUGCAUGUGUGUGGCCAGAUCUCCCUCACUCAACAGGACAGAAAGGGAGCAGUACCAAGGGUAAUGGAAGAAAGAAAGAAUGGUUGAUUGGGGCAGGCUGGACAAAGGUGGUCAAGGGUAGCCAAGUCCCAUAUACACAGCUGCUCCUGGCCAUCCAGACCUCUCAAGAUCCGAUACGCAGUGCACAGGGGCUUCUGGGGAGGCUCCACUAAGGGGUGCUGGUUUUCAUCCACCCAAAUAGGACUGCCUUCAACAUAGGGCUAGGGCCAGUGGCUGCUGUGGGGCUAACCACAAGUGUGUUACAGAAGCUACGCCAUGGGGCAAGCGUAGCAGCCAGUGGGAACUACUGCCUGACACCUGACAAAGCUUUGGCAUCUGGGAAGACAGUGGGCGGAGCCACUGACUGGAAACAAAGUAUCAGUCAUGACCAUCAGGCAGGAAUUGCUUUGGCAGCAGCUGAAGGCAACAUACCGUGUCCUAGGGUGGCUCCACGGCAUCCCAAGGCACAGAUUUCAUUUCUCUUCUAACAGCCAGACCCAGGGAAAGUCCCCACUUCUACAUUUAGUGUAUGAUGUGGGUGUGAGCCACACUGCCCAGUUAUCUGUCCUAAAAAGGCCUUUUAUUUCUCCUCUUGAGAAAGCAUCAAGUAUGCUGGAGUGAAUGCAGAUCCCACAGGAAUGUAUUAAAUGAUCUCACCUUGUGUGCCCUCCCAAGGCCAAGACCUCAGGAUACCUGUAUAUGCUGAGCACUGGGUGGCUGACAGCAAAUGUGUCCCCUGGUGGGGGAGGGGGUGGAGACAGGAGAAGUCUAUAGAAGAAGUCAGUCUGUCAUACUGCAGUGCAGAUGAACAAGCCUGAAAUGUAGCAAGUUUAGAACACGGGACUCACAGACCUCAGAAGGCAUGGGUUCCACAUGGGCUGUGUUAAAAAGCCCAACAUCAUGGAUAACCAAAGAUAGAUGAGAAGUCUCUCUCUCUGGCUCCCAGCACCACAGCCUGUUGCCCUGUGCACACAAGAUCAGCAGCUCUGGCCUGGCAGCCUUCUCCCCUCCUGAAGUGCAAUGGCAUGGUCAUCUCCUGAGGGCAACAUGGGGACACAAGCAGAGGUGACUGCAGUGCCCAGAUGCCCUCUGAUCCAUAACUUCAUUUGAGCCUCACCCCACUCAGUGAGAUGGUCAUGCAUAUGAACCCCAGGCAAAUGGCCACUCCUGGGAGGUCUAUGUCACCCUGAGGCCACACAGCUAGUUCCUAAGUCCAGAUGCCCUCACUCUGGGGCUUGUCCAACUCAAGACUAUUGGACAAAUAAAUGGCAGACGGGAGCAAUACGCAUGUGUCACAUACACGUGCGAAGCAUUAUCAGUUGUCAACUGGUCUAGGAAAAUGCAGUUCACAAACAAAGCUGCAACCUAGUGUAGAUGUGACUCACCACCCAGUGGCCAUUCUGUUCCUAGAAUAGGAUGCCAGAGAGGGUCUUCAGAAUACUGAGUGUGAGUCUAACAUUUCCAUUAGAAAUCUGAGUGACCUCAAGGAGGCUCCCAUCUCAAGGGGUGUCAUGAAAAACUAAAUUCAUUUUGCAUUUCUUCAGAAGAGAGAGACACACCAAGGCCUUGGGGUAUUGCUCUGCUGCAGAAUAUUCUAACAUGUCUAGCCCAGGCCUGGGUUCUCUGCCUCAGCACCGUAAACCACAACUAACAACCACAAACGCCAUGGGCUAGUCUGCACUAUUUUAUGUUGAGGGGAAGAGUCGUCACUGUAUAAAAUGGUGCUUGUUUCUACUGCAAAGCGCUUGGUUUUCUAUUUGAAGGAUUUUCGCUCUUCUCUAGCCUUCUAAAUCUGUGGAAAGGGGCUAAGGGUGUAAGCCCCCACUGCUGUGUAUUCUGAAUGCCCCUGAGACCCUGCCCCUAACAAGAGCCUCAUUCAAGUAUCUGUCCCAAAGGAAAGUCCCCAGGCUUAUGACUGGCUAGAAACCUCAAGGAUACAAGUGAAUGUAUAUACAUAUAUAUUUUUCCUACUUAUGAGAAAACAUUAAGUUCUAUGAACAUCGGAAGACUCACAUUUUGCUCAUUUCUCAUGUUGGAUCUGAUCUGACUUUCUAAGCACCUGCAGGGUGUAUCCUCCAUCAUCAACAGAGGAGAAAGCAGCACCAGGGGUCUGUAUCAGUGUACUCCAGCUUGCCCUCAGCUGAACAAACAACGAAUCCAAAAUAAGUAACUGGGGAACCUCAAAAAAGGGACUUGCAAAAUACCUGAUGUCUCCGUGAUAAGACAAACACCCCACAACUAAACAACAGGGAGAUCUGAAUAGAUGUUUCUCCCUAAGAAGAUGUAUAAAAAGCCUGGAGCCCCUGAAAAGUCUCAACAUCAUUAACCAGCAGGAGUGUGUGUGUGUGUGUGUGUGUGUGUGUGUGUGUGUGGUGUGCUGAAGAUGGAACCCAGGGCUUCAUGCACACCAGAUAAGCACUCCACACUGAGCUACACACACCAGUCCUCAUUAACCAUUUUGGGAGAUGCAUAUCAAAUCAAAACCACGCCCUACCUAGUCAGGCUGCAAUAACAAAAUAUUAUUUUCUCAUAUUUCUGGAGAUUGGCAGCACAAAGUCAGGGAUGUCUGCAUGGUCAGGCUCUGGUAAGGGCUCUCCUACUGGCUUAAAGAUGGUCACUCAUGGAAGACUCAGUACUUAACACUCCCUGCUUCUGCAGAAGACUAGUUCAGUCCUAGCACCCACAUGGCAGCUCACAAACAGCCUAUAACGCCAGUUCCAGGAAAUCCAAUGCGCUCCUCUGACCACUCCCACAGAAGAGAGGAAGAGGCAGACAGAGUAAGAGGGAGAAGGAAAGACAGGGGUGUUUUUAAAUCAGAGCACCAAUCCCAGCAUAAUGUUUCUAAGAGUCCAAUUUCCAUUACUGUAACAGUAUACCAGAGGCUGGGUGAUAUAUAAAGAAAAUGACCUGCUUGGCUCAUUGAUUCAUGGGAUUAAAGACCAAGGUCAGUUGACCCCAUCACUUUGGCCUUUGUAAGGACUCCCUUGGCCUUAUCAGUCACUCUGGGUGGUAUGGCUGGGGAAGUACACACCUUAAUGGCAUGAUUACCUUAUCCCAGGCUACACCUAUUAAAGUUCUAUCACCUCCCACUGUGGUACCAGGUUAGACACCAGGAUCCCGGUCAGGUUGGUUAUGGCUCUAAAAAUCGAAGACCUUCUCUGGUCUCUCUCUGGGACAAUCUUAGGUUUGUUUGUAUUUCUUUAUGGGGGCUAGUCUGAACACGUGUACUUUAUUUGGGGUGAACCAAGGGUUAUAUGGCUUUUGGGGUGAGAAUAUCCAUGGUGGAAAAAGGUCAUUGGCUGAAAGCUAGGGCGCUGAGAUGCCUCGUUAGCGUGGAGAGAGAGGCCUUCCCGGUGCUGUGCUCUGCGACGUGUGACUGCCUGGCGUGGGGGUCUCUGGGUUACUUGGUCUGAGGCAGGCAUGGAAACAGGGAGGGAGUUAGCUCUACUCCUGCUGGCCUCAGGAUGGGAUUCUAAUCUCAAGUUUUGAGAUUCUGGGCUUUGGUCAUGCCCUAUCUUGCCAGUUCCCUGCCAGUUCCUCUUGUGGUUCCGUCUACAGUCCCCACAUCCCACGGUGGUCACACAGAGGACCAGAUUUCUAUCACAUGACCCUGGAAGGACUCAAAUCACAACCAACCCAGAGCAGGGCCCAGCUCUCUUGCAUCAGCUAACCUGUUACCUCCCCCAAGCUCCAAAUAUAGUCACACUGGCCUUGCAUGGUGGCAUAUCUCUUUAAUCCCAGCAUCCAGGAGGCAGAGACAAGUGGAUCUCUGUGAGUUAAAGGCCAUCCUGGUCUACAUUGUGAGUUCCAGGCCAUCUGAGGCUGACUGGAUAUUUACAGUGAGAUUCUAACUAAAAAACAAAACAAAACAAAUAUAGUCACAAGAAAACUACAGCUUUUCACACGA